rnacentral:rRNA from 1 species
UACAGAGGUCCCGAGCGUUGUUCGGAUUCACUGGGCGUAAAGGGUGCGUAGGUGGCAUGAUAAGUUUGAUGUGAAAUCUCCGGGCCCAACCCGGAAAAUGCAUUGAAUACUAUCAGGCUGGAGGUUUGGAGGGGGGACUGGAAUUCUCGGUGUAGCAGUGAAAUGCGUAGAUAUCGAGAGGAACACCAGUGGCGAAGGCGAGUCCCUGGACAACACCUGACACUGAGGCACGAAAGCUAGGGGAGCAAACAGG